UACGUAGGGUGCAAGCGUUAAUCGGAAUUACUGGGCGUAAAGCGUGCGCAGGCGGUUUUGUAAGUCUGUCGUGAAAUCCCCGGGCUCAACCUGGGAAUUGCGAUGGAGACUGCAAGGCUAGAAUCUGGCAGAGGGGGGUAGAAUUCCACGUGUAGCAGUGAAAUGCGUAGAGAUGUGGAGGAACACCGAUGGCGGAAGGCAGCCCCCUGGGUCAAGAUUGACGCUCAUGCACGAAAGCGUGGGGAGCAAACAGG
rnacentral:rRNA from 1 species